GCCAUACUUACUAUAAUCUUCAUAUGUAAUCAUUCAAAAUAUUAGAACAGAUUCUUAUUUAACUCAGAAAUUUAUGGAACUGGCCUACUCCCAAGUGUGAUGAAUUAGGCAUUAAAGAAAGCAGGAAUCUAAUGCUUUGUGUUGUGCAUAGAAUAAAUUUGAGAUAGCUGCAUUUUGUAUGAAAUAGUGCUAUUUAGAUUGAAAGCAUCCAAUAAUGUCUUGUUAAUGACUGAUUUGUUAAAGAAAUUAAAGGUAAGUUAUAAAAAUAUGGAAAUGAACAAUUUAAGAACAUGAGUAACACCAAGUGUAAUGGAUGAAUAACUUCCUUAUUCCUCCAUGUCAUGUUAAGGUAAAAAAUAGUCAACAUGUCAGUCAUGGCUAUUCACAUCUUUUCAGCCAUAUUUUUUUGUUCUCAUAAUUCUUGCCCAUAUUGGUGGGGUUUUUUUGCUGUUCCUGACUAACAUAAUAUUUUUGACCUUUUAUUUAUUUAUUACCUCUUUAAAUCACAAACUUUAAAUUCUACUUAAAAUUUCUAAGAAUGCAGGGGCACCUGGGUGGCUCAGUUGGUUAAGCAUCCAAUGCUUAAUUUAGGCUCAGGCUAUGAUCUCAUGGUCAUGAGAUCAAGCCCCACGUUGAGCUCCGCACUGGGUGUGGAGCCUGCUUAAGAUUCUCUCACUCGCUCGCUCGCUCACCCUCUGCCCCUCCCCCACUCAUGCGUGUGCACACACUUUCUCAAAAAAUUACUUUAAAAAAAAAAGACUUCUCAGAUGCAGUUUUCUUAAGUAUUAGCAAAUCUUUUCAAACUAAUUUCAUUUGCUACCUUAGUACUAAUCAUUUUAAGCUUGGACCAUAGCAACAACCUGCCUGAUAUUUGACCUCUAGCCUCCAUCUCUAAAAUAUCCUAUACAAAGCUUUACAAAAAUAGUUUACAAAAUAGUUUUUCUAAAUGAGGUUUUUUUAAUAGAUUGUUUUUGGAGCAGUUCUAAGUUUACAGAAAAACUGGACAGAAGAUACAGAAUUCCCACAUCUCACACACACACACUCAGUUUCUCCUAUUGUUAACAUCUUGUAUUAGUGUGGUAUAUUUAUUUGUUACCAUUGAUAAACCAAUAUUGAUACAUUAAUAUUAACUAAAGUCCAUAGUUUGCAUUAAGGUUCCUUCUGUUUUGUACAGUUCUGUAGGUUUUGACAAAUGCAUAAUGUCAUGUAUCCAGAAUUAUAGUAUACAGAAUAGUUUCACUGCCCUAAAAAUGCCCUGUGUUUCUCCACCUGUUCAUCCCUACUGUCCCCCAACCACUGACCACCCAGUGAUCGUUUUAUUAUCUCUGUAAUCAUGCCUCCUAAAUGAAAUUCUGCUGUCAUUUAAAACCUCAGUCUCUGGAGUCAAUCCAUAUUGGGAAAUGAAAAAGCAAGCUGCUAUAAAUUUUUUAAAUCAUGUAUGUAUACAUAUUUGAUUAUACAUAGAAAAUUUCUGAAAAGAUACAUAGAAAAAUGAUUACCCCUAUGGAAAGGAUAAUGGAGGAGAGUUAAUGAGGUCUUUUACUUUCUACUAUCCUUCUAUUUUGUUUGAAUUUCUUACCAUCUACAAAUACUAUUUUAUAAUUUAAAAUGUUGCAAUUAUAAAGCUAAAAAAAAUCUCUGGAUGACGGUGUUUCAAACAUGAAAACACAGGAAACCACAAGGGUAAAAAAUCUAGAGGUUUUAACUACAUAAAAAUAUUAAAAUUCUGUACCUCAAAAGCAACUUAAAAUCUGAUCAACCCUGUUUAUCCAUCUAUGAUGUUCCUUUUUUUUUAAUUUAAUUUAAUUUUAAUUUAUUUAUGAUGUUCUUUAAACUCGUUUCCAUACCUAAUAUUCUCAUAUGGCUUUUUUUUUAUGAUUUCUUGUUUCUUCAAACAUUACUGACCUCCCACUCAACAUCCUCUUCACUCCUAUUUUAGGCUUAGUUUCAUUUUAAAAUCGUGACCCUUUUCACAAUCCCAAUCAGCCUUAUUUUUAUAGCAAAUAUUACCUUCUAAAAUGGCUUAUUCCUUAGUUAGAUAAUAAGUUGUUUGUAUGCUUUUGUCUCUGUCCCUCAUGCCAUUUCCCACCACUAGAAAAUAAAAUGUACAAGAAUAAAGAUUUUUGUCUAUCUUGUUCAUGAUGGAUCCUCAGUGCCUGACACUAGUAGGUGCUCAGUAAACUUUUUGUUGAAUGACUAAUUGUUUAAUUCUUUAAAAAUUUUUAAAUUAAAUGUCUACAUUUAUUCCUAUAAUUCUGCUUCAGUUGGUAUAUGUUGUGUAACUUGUUGUGUUACAUAGUGAUCAUAUUCCUAGGAGUCUAGAUACUUGGUUCACAAGCUUCUGUUCUGAUAAUGGAUAUUGAGGAAGAGCAAAAGGGCAGACCCUAAUUUUUAUCCCUUCCCACAAGUUUAAGGAUUAGAGAGCAGAGAGCUCCAGACACCACAGAGGAGCUAUAGUGUUCUAUCUCUGUUGCUACUGUUUCCUCUGAAAACUCCUCUGGUGAGGAUUUAACUUGAAACUCAUAAUCUAGCAGAAGGCUCUUGUAAUCCAUCAAAACCCUAGAGGUUUGGGGAAGGAGUUGGAGAGUGAAUGUCUCAAUUUUCUAGAGUAUCUGUUCAGCCCACACACUUUUUCAUCAGCAACUCACUUCAACAGACCCUUUGUAUUAUUCUAUACUGGGAAGCGGUUGCUAAUGAUAUCUGUAGCAGUCAGUUGUCUGGACUGAUUGUCCCAAAGCAGUGAAGGGAAGUGCCAGGAACAAUACUUAAAAACUUACUCCUGACCCUUACCAGGGUUUUCUCAGUUUUUUUAUCUUAUUCCUCAAGCCCUUGCUCCUUUAUUUCUGUAGUUACCUAGGGUUUGUUUGGAGGAAGGAAACCCACAGCCAUUAGUAGUGCCCCAUUUUCUCAGGAAUCAUGUAAGAAAUCUAUUUUACAUAUAAAGAUAUGGGUUAAAAGCAAAAGAAUGGAGAAAGAUCCACCAAUCUCAUACUAAUCAAAAGAAAGCUAUAGUUGCUAUGUUCAGGGAAAACAGACUUUAGAAAAAGGAAAAUUAUCAGGGAUAGAGAGGAGCAUUACAUAAUGAUAAAGGUGUCCAUUCUUCAAAAAGAUAGAAACUUUAAUGUGCAUAUCUCACAACAAAGCAUUAAAAUAGCUAAGGCAAAAGUAGACAGAACUACAAAGAGAAAUAGACAAAUCACUAUUAUGGUUGGAGAUUUCAACACCCCUCUUAUGGUAAUUGAUAGAUCUAGCAGGCAGAAAAUCAGUGAGGAUACAGUUGAACUGUGUAUUACCAUCAGUCAAUUGGAUCUAAUUGACUUUUAUAGAAUACUUCACCCCAAAAGAGCAGAAUACACAUUCUUCUCAAAAAAGAUAGACACUUAUCAUUAUUAAAAAGUAGCCUGCAUAGAAAAGUUACAAUUAAGGUUAAUAGAUGUGCAAUAAAUUUUGAAAAAUAUUCAUGAGGAGGUUUAACAUCUGUAAUACACAAAACCCUCUUAGAAAUUCACAUUAAGGGAACAUGUAGUUCAACAGAAAAGUGGGUAGCAAAGAAUAUGAACUCAACAAAGAGUAACUCCAAAUGUGAAAAGAUUCUCAGAAUCAGGAGAAAUCAGGAGCAUGCAAAGUAAAAUAAUAAUGAAAUGCCAGUUAGGCCUAACAGACUGUCAAACUAUUGUUUUAAUUCAACUAACAUUAAAUGCUGAUUAUGUAACCAGCACUGAACUAUGCACACAUAUAAGUGCUCACAAAGUACUAUGACAUGUAUCUUACCCCUGAUUUACAGUAGAAGAAUCAGAUGGGUAAAUGGACUUGACAAAAAUCACAUAAAGGAAACUAAGGAAUUCACCAUAUGGAAACUUCUUUUCUUUUUGAGUAGGUAAUUCAUUCAAAUGGUGUGUGUGUGCACGUGUGUAUAAAUAGACUUAUGUUUUGAAAUUACCCACAUGUAUAUCCCCUCCACCAUUUCUCAUGCCACAGCCAUCUAUCCAUCCAUCUCACAACUACUUUUACAAUUUUCUCAUGUAUCUUACUAGAGCUUAUUUUUUCUUUUUCUUUUCCCUUUCUUUUGCAGUCUUUCUUGUCAUGGUAUUCUUUUUUUUCAAUUGAGGUAUGUAUAAUUGACAUGAAACUUUAUAUGUACAGGUGUACAGCAUGAUGAUCUGAUAUUUGUAAAUAUUGUGAAAUGAUCAUCACAAUAAGUCUAGUUACCAUACACUUACAGAAUUUUUUUUCUUAUGGUGAGGACUUUUUAAGAUUUACUCUCAGCAACUUUCAAAUAUGCAAAACAGUAUUAUUAAUUAUAGUUACCUUCUGUACAUUCCAUCCUCAUGACUUAUUUAUUACUGGAAGUUUGUACCUCUUGACCCCCUUCACCCAUUUUGCCCACCCCACCCCUGGCAACCACCAGUCUGUUCUCUAUCUCUGAGCUUGGCUGAUUGGUUGGUUGUUUUUAUAUUCCACAUACAAGUGAGAUCAUGUGGUAUUUGUCUUUCUCAAUCUGACUUAUUUCACUUAGCAUUAUGCCCACGUGGUCUAUGUUGUUGCAAAUGGCAAGAUUUCGUUAUUUUUUAUGGUUGAAUGAUAUUCCAUUCUAAAUAUGUAUGACAUGUUUUUCUUUUUUUUCCCUCUAAACUUCGAUCAUGAAUUUUUCUUUUUUUUUUUGAGUGUAGUUGACACACAAUGUUAUAUUAGUUCAUAUGUACAACAUACUAAUUUGACCAAUUUGUACAUUAUGCUAUGCUCAUCACAAGUGUAGCUACUAUCUGUCACCAUACAACACUUACAAUAUCAUUGAUUAUAUUCUUUAUGCUGUGGCUUUUAUUUCCAUGACUUACUCCAUAUCUACUACAUUUUCUUUAUCCAUUCAUCUUUCAAGGUAUAUUUAGGUUGUUUCCAUAUCUUGGCUAUUGUAAAUAGUGCUGCAACGAACAUGGGUGUGCAUAUAUCCUUUGGAGCAUUCUCAUUGUCUUUGAAUAAAUACCCAGAUGUGGAAUUGCCAAGUCAUAUGGUAGUUCUAGUUUUAAGUUUUUGAGGAACUUCCACACUGUUUGCCAUAGUGGCUAUUCCAAUACAUAAUUCCACGAACAGUGCACAAAAAUGCUCUUUUCUCCACAUCCUCACCAACAUUUGUUACUUCUUGUCUUUUUGAUAACAGCCAUUCUAAUAGAUUUGAAGUAAUUCCCAGAGCUUUCUUAUACAAAUUUAUAUUCUCCUUUUUAAAAAACAAUUUAUCAUAAUGUACACUAUGUUCCACAUCUCACUUUUUUGGUUGCAAUACAUCUUAGAGGUAUUUAAUCAGCUGCAUAAUAAGAUUACUCAUUCUUUAACAGCCACGUAGUAUUUGUACUACAAGAAUGCCAGAAUUGGGGCAGCUGGGUGGUUGAGUCAGUUGAGCAUCCAACCCUUGAUUUCAGUUCAGGUCAUGAUCCCAGGGACAUGGGAUGGAGCCCCAGGUUGAGCUCCAUGCUGCGCAUGGAGCCUGCUUAGGAUUCUCUCUCUGUGUGUGUCUCUCUGUCUCUCUGUCUCUCUCUCUCUGUCUCUCUCUCUCUCUCCCUCUCUUCCCCUCCCUCUCCCUCUCUCUUUUGCCCCUCUCCUACUCUCCCCCACUCACGCUCUCUUUGUCUCUCUCUCUCAAAAAAAAAAAAAAAAAAAAAAGAAUGCCAGAAUUUAUUUUGCAAACUUCUGUGAUGGAUAUUUGCAUUGUUUUCAGUCUUUUGCUCUUAAAAACAAUGUAGUAAUGAAAAAUCCUGUUCAUAGUUUUGUCUCACAUGUUCAAGAUAUCUGUAGUAUAAAUUUACAGAAAUAAGAUUGUUAGAUCAAGUUGUGCAUGUGUGUGUGUGUGUGUGUGUGUGUAAUUUUGAUGAUAUUGCCAAAUUUUCCUCCAUAAGUGUUGUAUAAAGAACAGUUGAGAAUGUGUAGCACUGUCAUUAGAAUAUGUUAUCAGACUUUUGGAUUUGAGAUUGAAAAGUGAAAAUGUUUAGUAUUAGUAUUAGUUUAUUAUGUUUUUCUCCUGUUAUGAGUAUAAUGAAACAUCUUUUCAGAGUGGGCAAAAUUUUAAAUUCCCUCUUGCUAGUGAGGAUCCAAGUAAAAGGGUAUUGUUUUACAUUGCUGGUAUACAUGUGAACUUUUCAACCUAUUUACAAAGCACUCUGGCAGUCUGUGUUAAAAUAUUUUAAAUGACAAAUACCUUUGUUCUAGCUACCUUUUCUUAAGGGAAUGCCAUAGGAGUUGCAGCCGUCAUUUCCACUUAUAAGUCACGGGCCAAAAUAUAGUCAUAUGGCCAUACUUUCAAGGGAGGCUAGGAAAUACAGUCCUUAACUAUGUGGCAAUGUACAAAGCUAAAACUUGGGCAUUCUAAUACUGAAGGAAGAAGAAAGGACAUUGAGAGACUAGAUUAAUUGGUGAGCUAGGUAACAAGAGAAAGAGACUUCCUCCCCACCCCCCCCAAAUUUUCUAUUCCUCCAAAGGCAUAUUGCAAAAAGGCAUAAACCAAAGAAUUAUUCAUUGGGAACAAAUAACAGUGUAGCAUAUUACAUACUUACAGGUAUAUAUAAAGUUUUAUAUUUGCCCACAUAUUCAAAGAAAUAUGUAUAAGUAAAGUUGGUUAAACACAUUUAUGGUAUGCAGAUACAAAUAUGACCAUGUCACUAUCCUACUUUUAUUUGCCUUACAGAUUGAAGCCCAAACCCCUUUGCCCAUAUUUCUAUUGUUAUACUGCCUCCCUGGGGAUGUAAUAAAAACCAUAUAGAAAGAUAAAUUGCCUGUAUCUGGAGUGGUUGGACUUCAUGUAAGAUAUGGAAUCUGAACUGGACCUUGAAGGAAGAAGUACUUGAAUUAGUGGAGAGGGGCAUGGAGGCAUAAACAAAUAGUUCCAGUCUUUUUAGGCCCACCCUUUUAAAAAAUCAAAAUAUAGAAUACUAUGGAAAUAAAUGAAGUAUCUAUCAUAAAGUAAAAAUAUCACUGUAUCCACCACUCAGAAAAUAGAGUAUUACUGUUUACAUAGUAUACAACCUCUCAAUAACUAUCCUGCCUUUCUCCCCAAUGUCAUCAUUCUUCUAGUUUCUAACCAUAGACUAAUUUUGCCUCACUUUCAACCUUACAUAAAUGGUAUUAAGUGUGCAUUUCAUAUGUAUAUGAGAUUGUUCUGUAUUGUUUGGAAAAGUUCACAUUCAUUGCUAUAUUCCAUUGUAUGACUGCACCAAAUAUAUUUAUCCAUCCUGUUGUUGAUAUUUGGGUUUUUCUACUCUGGGGCUGUUAACCAAUAAUGAUGCCAUAAACAUUCUCUUAUGUGUCUCUUGGUGUGAAUGGGAAGACUUCUUUUGAGAGAAUACUUAGGAUUAAAAUUCCUUGGUCUCGAGGUAUGUUCACACUGUAUACAGAAUGACAGUUUUCCAAAGUUUAUGUUAUUUAUAUCCCCACCAAAAGUAUAUGAAAGCUUCACAGUCUCCACACCCUGAGCAACACUUGGUAUCAUCACUGUUUUUAAUGUUAGCCAUUCUGAUGGGUGUGUAGUGGCAUUUCAUUUUAGCUUUAAUUUGCAUGUUACUGGUGAUGAUUGAGACUGAGCACCAUUUUAUGUUAUUUGCCAUUUAGAGAUCCUCUGGUUUGAAGUGCUUGUUCAGGUCACUUGCCCAUAUUUCUGUUGGGUUGUCAGUCAUUUUCUGACUGAUUUUUAGGACUUCUUUAUUCUGGAUAUGAGUUCUUGAACACACAUAUAUAUAUACCAAAUAUCCUUUCUCAUAGUAUGGUUUGUCUUUUCAUUUUCUCAGUAGCAUCUUUUGAAAAAACAAAGUUCCUGAUUUUAGUGUAAUUUAUUUUCACCAAUCUUUUUCAUUCUUAAAUUAUUUCACAUGUGCCUUCAAUUUUUUUUAUAACCCUGACUGAAAGAGUAAUUAGUACCAGAGCUGUUACAGGAGAUGGACCCUUUGAGGUUGAAUUAAAUACACACACACAUAAAAUCAAUCACAGGGAUAACUUCAUUGCUAUAGACAAAGGGACCACAAGUGAUCCAUGGCUUAAGGUACUGUUAUACUUACUAUUAAUAGCAUGGGAUGGAGUGAAGGUGAGAAUGUAUCACUGUGGUAACCAUAGUGAUUUAAGAUUGUGGAUCCACCAGGCCUCUCUUAUGAACCUAAACAGAAUGUACACAGGAAAAAGAAAAAUGUAAAAACUAUGACUAUGUAGCUGAGAAUGCAUAGAGAGUGUCAGAACUCCUCCACCACAGCUUUGAAGGAGUCCUUCAUCUCCUAUAAGCAGUGGGCAGAAAAGGUAGAUUUGUAGUAUCAAUAAAAUACUUAGUUCUUCCAGUUUUCUUAGUCUAAGGGUAGAGCAUUGGUGAGAAAGAUGUGGGGCCCUAAGACAGAAUGGAGACUUUUGAGCAGACAAGAAUGAAGAUGAGAAUGCUGAACCUGCAUAUCCCCCAAACUUCCUUGGCUCUCUGGGGAAACUAGCCUCCUCUGCAUAGAGGCUUUCGGUGACUGCACUGGGAACAGCUCUCUCAUAGGCUGGUAUCUGUUCUCAGAACGUACCUUCAUCACCUCACAGUAUCCCUAGAUAAAUCUCAAGAUCACCUAAUCAGAGAAGUAUGUGGCCUGCUAUGGCAUGAGAUAACCUACACAGGAGUUAAAGACCUUACCAUGUUGAUCAGCAGAAACCUGAGGAGUAUAUAUAGAAGUGGGUUCUAAGGAUGUUACACCAAGGGGGAAUCAAUACAAGGUUUUAUCAUGGCAAAUUUAUUGGCAUGGGUGCACUCACCUGAGAAUCAACAUCUCAUAUAUUGGCAUUAAUAGUUUGCUAGGAUGAGGCAUGGGCUCAAUAACAGUCUACAAAUAAUAAAUGACCUACAAAUGAAAUUUGAAGUAAUAAUUUCAGAAUCCCAGAAAUACUCUGGCAUACUGUAGAGAAAAGAAAACAAGGGCUCCUUAGACAUUCUCCAUUUUUACCAAGUCAUUAAGGAUGCAUUGGUGAUAGAAGUGUAAGCAUCCCUAAAGAGCUCUGAAGUGGCUGCCCUCUGUUUGUCAGAUUGAUGGUGAUAAAUGCUGUGGUAGAACUGAGUUUCCUGAUCUCAGAAUAAGAUAAUCUCAAAUUGGUAGAGGCCACAUGAUGGCAUAUAACCAUCAGAGACAUGGUGGGCACAAUUACCAUAAUAAUCCAAAGAAGAGAACGUUAAUCAGAGUGUUUUGACUUUCAGGGAAAGGUGGUAAUGGUUAAAGGAUAACAAGAAAGGAAGCAGAUUAAGUAAUAGAUUAAGUAGCCUACCAAUUUGCUGCUUGACAUAUAUAGGUGGGAAAAUUCUAAACUAACUUGUGUUGUCAUAAUGAAAUUUGAAGCAUCUCAUCCAGUUCACAGACCUGGAACUCUUUGAUGAUGGAGAAAGAUUGGGUCCCUUUGAAGAAAAAUCCUGCAAUGCUGCCACAGGUGUAUAACCAUGAACCUUCCCCUAAUCUCAUGCUUCCCAAACGUGUCUGUACUUUAGACCACCAUAAAAUUCUCAAGAACAUCCAGGCCAAUUAAAUCAUAAUUUCAGGGAGUGAGACCCAGGCAUUGAUAUUUUUUGAAGCUCCCCUGGUGAGCAAAUUACGGGAUCACUGCCCUAAUUCUUCUCUAGUGGCCAUUUCCUGGAGAAAGGAAAAUACCAGACCUCCUGAGGCUUAUUAGAUACUGUCUCUUAACUUAUAUUAAUACCUAGAGACCCAAAACCUAAUCCUGGACAACUGGUUAAAAUAGGAGGCCUAGGAAACUUAAGUGACAGAUGGAGUCUUGGCCUGCAUCUGGGUUAACAGUGAGUCCAGAGAGACCCAUAUUGGGGUUAUUUCUCCAGCCUUAAUGUGUAGUAAGAAUAGACAUAUUUUAAUAACUGAAGCAGUCUUCAUUUUAGUUUCCUGUCCAAUGGAGUGAAUGCUAUUAUGGUAGGAAGGGCUAUGUAGAAGUUCAUAACUGCUUGUCUCUCACCAAAGCAGUACUGCAUCCCUGGGGAACUUGCAGAAAUUAGUGCCACCAUGCUGGCAUAGUGAUUCAUACCACAUUCCCACUUAACUUCCCUUUGUGGUCACCAGAUGGGUCAUAGGGAAUGACAGUAUAAAAACCAAAUGGGUAGUAAAGAAUGACUGGAUUACUGCAAGAUUUUAUCAGGCAAAGAUGCCAAUUGUAGUUGCUGUUAUAGGCGUGGUAUCUUCAUUGGAGGAAAUGAAUACAGACUUUGAUAUGAUAUAUAGGUAUUGCUCUGGAAGUGCCCCCUCAUUUCCCAUUCCAGUUAUUCAGGGAAAUCAGAAGUAGAUUGUGUUUAACUGACAGAGACAACAGUAAGCCCUUACUGUCUUGUCUCAGCACUAUGCCACCUUUCUAUUCUGUGCUGAAGGGACCUUGAUCAUCUUUCUAUGCGAUAGAAUAUCACACUGGUCUAUUAUAGAAAUGAACGUUAAAUGAGCCCAAAGAGCAGGAAGUAGUAAACACUCUACAUGCUUUGGUAAGACAUAUGCUUAGCAGAAGGUGCAAGAAAAACCCUGUAAAACUUCAGGGACCUGCCACAUGGGAUUCAGUGGCCAGAGACCUGUUAGGUUAUCCAUUCAAGUGAGUGACUGUUGUGUUUUUCACCACCACAGUAAAGAAAAAGGCAAAAUGUGUGGCAGGCCUUUUUAGGUUCUGGAGACAACAAAAUAGUACUUUUGGGUGACCUAACCUGUUUUAUGGGUAACUGUAAUUUUGAGUGGGGCCCAGAGCAAACUGUCUUGCCAGUUGGGCCUUAUGGUUUGGCAGAUACAAUGGUAUUGGAAGUUCAUGUGGUAGAGAUGCUAUAUGAAGCCUCUGAGGGUAAGUGCCAAUAGGAGAAUCACAAGAUUCCUUGGUUUUUGAGUAAAGAUCUAUCUUCCUCAACCAAUGUUUUGUUUUGUUUCUUUGAAAAGCAGCUCCUGGUUUGCUGCUGGUACCUGAUAGAGAUGGAACUCCUGACCAUGGGACAUCAAGUGACUAUGUGAAUGAUCGAACUACUACUCGUCAUGAACUGGUGUUAUCUGAUUCACCAAUCAUACAACUGGAUGGGCAUAACAGCAGUUCACUCCCUACAAAACUGGGUACAUGGCCACAACUAAACUGAAUAAGCAGGUGACUCAGACUACUGUUACUAGUACCUGCCCCUAUUCCUUCAGCACUUCUCCCUCAAUCCAUAUACACUGGCUUCAAAGGGGGUUCCCUCUGACCAAUUAAUGAAGGAAAAAAGUUUAGGUCUUGUUAAUUCACAAAAGGGUCUGCAAUGAGCUGGCAAUAGCUGGGUGUGAGUGGUCACUAUACAACACCAUCGCUCAAUAGUGGCCCUGAAUCACAACAGUAAAGGGAAAUCCUUUCCUUGAGAACUUUAGGAGACGUGGCCUGAGGUAAGGGUAUAGAGUGGUUCAUUGUGAGUGGCUUAUGAGUCGACAGGCUGGACAAGAACUUAGAACAAAUUAGAAAACUGGUUCAGUUUAUGGAGCCAACCAGGAGACAAUAACCUCCAAAUUUAGGAUGCGGACUUCAGAAUAAAGUAUUAUGCUUAAAUGCAGUAACCAAUAUGUAGUGCCAUCUUUCCCAGAAGGUAUGUAUAGUGGAGAUGAGCAUGGUCCUUCUAUUUUCUGUAUGUCUAUUUUUUUUAAAUACUGGGAGCAUGUUUUCUGAAUUUGGUGAAAAGCAUGAAAUUACAGAUCCACAAAGCUCAGUGAAGCACAGGUAGGAAAAUUACCAAUGCGUGUUAUUGUCAAACUGACAAAACUAAGAGAAAAAUAUCUUAAAAGCAUUCAGAAAAAGUGCACAUCACACACAGGAGGGCUAGUAUAUGAAUUUUUAAAAGUUUUUUAAUGGAAGCAUAACACACAUGUAGAAAAGUACACAAAUAUAAUUAUUUAGCACAACUUAUCACAAAGUAAAGAUAACUGUGUAAUCAACACCCACAUCAAUAGCUACAACAUUAACAUGCCCCCUUCUUAGUCAUUAUUCUUCUUUCUUCCCAAAGGUAAUCACUUUCCCAAAUUCUAACACCAAAGAUUAGGUUUGCCAAUGGUUAACUUUUAUAUAUAUUGAAUACAUAACUGUAUUCUCUUGUGUCUGGCUUCCUUUGUUUAAUAUUGUGAGGUUCAUCUCUCUGCCCCUCCCCUGCUCACUCAUCUCUCACUCUCUCAAAAAUAAAUAAACAAACAUUAAAAAAAAUCUUUAAAGAAAACAUUGUGAGGUUUAUCCAUGUUGUUACCUGGAUCGGUUGUUCAUUUAUUUUCAUUGUUAUACAGUGAAUGAAUAUAUUGCCAUUUACUUAUCCGUUCUAUUGUUGAUAGAUAUUGGCGAUGUUUCCAUUUAGGGCUAUUAUAAAGACUGAUGCUAUGAACAUUCUUUUGUAUGUCUUUUGGGGUACACAUGUAUGCAUUUUUGUUAGGUUCUCUAUUAUACCUAAAAACCUACUUGAAGAAUUUUUUGGUCCCUGAAACUUUGGACUUAGUGGUUUUGGUAGUCUUGGUACUAAAAAGAGGAAUGCUUCCUAAUACUUCAACGAAUUAGAAGUGGACACUGUUCACUGGCAGGUUUGGGCUUUUUCUGUCACUAACCAACAAGAGAGAAGGAAAUCACUCUACUGGCAGGGUGAGGGAUCCCUUUUAACGGGGAAAUUGCGUUGCUGCUAUACAGCAGAAUAAAUAUGACUGUAUAUGGACUGUAACAGUAUUCUCUGAGAAGCUUGUUCGUAUUCUCUUAGCCAAUAGUCCAGUAAAAAACUAGGGUAACCCAAAAAGGACCUCUGCUAGGACUCAUCUUACAAGAAUGACUGUUGGGAGUACCCCACCCGGUAAGAAUCCCAUCCAGGUGAGGUACGAACAAAAAGUGAGAGAAACCAAGAAUGGAUGGUGAAUAGGGCACCUGGAUAGCUCAAUUGGUUAAGCAUCUGAUUUCAGCUCAGGUCAUGAUCUCAUGGUUUGUGGGUUUGAGCCAUCAGGCUGUGUGCUGACAGCGUGGAGCCUGCUUCGGAUUCUCUCUCUCCCUCUCUCUGCCCAGCUGUUCAUGCUCUCUCUCUGUCUCUCACUCCCUCUUUCUCUCUCUCAAAAAUAAACAUUAAAAAAAAAAGUUAAAAAAAAAAAUGGAUGGUGAAAGAAAACAGCUAUGUUUAUGAAUCUAGGCCUCAUGACCAGCUUAAAAAAGCAGGUUUUAAGAGACUGUUUAUGUUUUGUAACUUCUUUUCUCCCCUACCAUAUAUGAAGAAUUCUAGGGUGCUAAUGUUUAUGGUUCCAGAGCUGAUUUACACCACCCCAGGAUAAGUUUGUAACUGAUGGGAAGAGAUUGCUUAGUGGAAAAGAGUGAGUAGAUUUUGGCAUGCCCAAAUCUGGAGGUGAAAAAAGCAACAACAACAAAAAAAACAGAGCUGCAAGGAAAAUCGAGAGAGACAGAGUGUGAGCAGGGAAGGCGCAGAGAGAGAGCGAGACACAGAAUUCAAAGCAGCCUUCAGGCUCUGAGCUGUCAGCACACAGCCCGACGCAGGGCUCAAACUCACAAACCGCGAGAUCAUGACCUGAGCCAAAGUCGGACGCUUAACUGACUGAGCCACCCAGGCGUCCCCCCUUCUCAUUCAUUCUUUCCUCUGCCCUCCCCCAAACCCCUUAGAGUACUUGCCAAACUUGUAGUUUCCAAAACUUACCAGGUCAAGUUGUCUGAGACUUUGCAUUGUUCCCUCUGUGUAGGUGACUUCCUCUGUUUUCCCCCCCAGCUAUGAUUUUGUUUAAAAACAAUUCUCUUACAUAUAGACAUUUUCCCUGAGCACCCCCAGUUAAAUUAGAUACAUUAAAAUUACUCUAUGCAUGCAUUUAUGUCAUCACAUUAUGGUGACUAUCUGAUCCUUAAUGGUCUCCCCAAUUAAAAGACUUUCUUAAAGGUGACAUCUGGAUCUUUCAUCUAUGUAUCUUCAACAUCUAGCUCAGUGCCUUGCAUAUAAUAGGCAUUCAAUAUAUUUUUAAAAGUUAACAGGAAUAUGGGAGUAAUUUAUCAAUAGAUCUCUAUUGCAUUAACAUUCUUCAGCCUAAACCUUCACUUAGGGAGAAACCUCCCCACUUGGCCCAGUCAAAUCCAAAUAUCACUGACUGACAAACUGUAGGAGUCUCAGUCUUGCCUCAACUUACAUCAAAAGCAGUCCCAUAUUAUAAAUGGAUGUUUUUUUAAAGCUAUAAAUAAGAAGGCUUUUGGAAGGCAGAAUGUACUAUCAUGUGAACAAUGUUACAGUGACUAAGUUUCAAGCUAGCAAGUACAGAAAUGGCAAUGAAGUUGUAUAAAACUGAACCACCAUGGUAGUAGCUGGAAUUCUGUGCUCUAGGGCAGGAGAUCUUACAGUGCUUGAACAAAGAGGAGAAAGAAAAAAAAUAUAUCCUUAUUUCUUGUUUCCUUCAGAAUAGUUUUAAUUUGCCUUUGACAUUUUUCUUCCCACUUUUCUAUGGAAAACCUGUCUCAUACUGUUCUCUUACAAAGUAUGUAUAUGGUAAAGCCCAAUCUCAUUAUUGUUAACUUUUGAGAUUAAAUAUGCUUUGAUGAUGGGAUAUCUCUGAAACUGUCACAUUUCUUCAACACCAAAUAAGCCAAAUUCUUUAAGGUUUUUUUUAGAUGUAGUGAAAUGUUUCUUAAUAAGUUUCAUUCUUUUAGUGUUAAGUCACUUCACUGUUUCUGUGCAAUGAAGAAUCAACAGGUACUAGAUAAUGUGUAUUAAGACCUAAAAGUCUCACAUAAGUGGCUCCAUUAAGUCACUUAGAUAUGAUAUAGAUCAGAUCCAUCAGAACCACUAUGCACAGCAUAAUUCUUUAAUAAGAGUGUAUUAACUUCUUAAAGAAUUCUCACAUAGAUUUAUUUAAAUAAUCAAAUCCAAUACUGUAAACACUGAUCAUUUCUGGUCUAAAUCACACUCUAUCUCUGUUUCCUUUGCAUUUUUUACAUUGUUAUUGAAGCAACAAAGAUUAUAGUUAUUGUUGGGAAGUAAUAUUAAUUCAAAUUACAUAUUUUAAGUACUGAUAAAGUUAAUUUGUAAUUUGUAUACUGGGAUCCACAAAACGGAGGCUACCUAAGUGGCCUGGCCCACGUCACAAAUGUAAACCUAAGCCAGUCUGCAUUUACAAAAACACCUGUUGCCUUUAGAUUUUUUACAUUGUUAUUGAAGCAACAAAGAUUACAGUUAUUGUUGGGAAGUUAAUAUUAAUUCAAAUUACAUAUUUUAACUACUGAUAAAGUUAAUUUGUGUACUGGGAUCCACAAAAUGGAGACCACCUCAGUGGCCCAGCCCACAUCACAAAUGUAAACCUAAACCAGUCUGCAUUUACGAAAAACACCUGUCAGGGAAACCUAGCAUACGCCAAUCACAAUCCUUCAAGUCAGCUUUAGCUCUAGCUUACCCUACCCUAGAACACAGGACCUGUUAGCCUUACAAGGAAAUCCCCAACCUCCUAGCCAAUCAUGCCAUUUUCAUCUUGCUGCUCUCAUACUUUGUAAAACUGGCUCCUGCCCAAAAUCCUCUCAGAAGUGGGGGUAGUAUGUUCCCCAAUCCAUGGAUUGUUUCCUUUCAAUAAGGACAUCAAACUUGUUACUAAACUGUUUUAGUGUUCUCAUUUGAUACUACCUAAUCCUCAAAAUCCUUAUCUAGACGAUUUACCCAAUUUUCAACCUAACUUGAUUUGAAAUUUUAAAGAAAAAUUUUUAUCUAUUUAGACUAUUUGUAAUUUCUGGCCAUAAUUAUGAAGUUUUAUUUUCAAGGAAAUACAAUGUAUUUCAAGGAAAUACAAAAUUAAUUAUAAAUUAAUUUUUAAUCACUGUUUUAUUAAAUAAGAUUGAUGAAAAUACCACCAAAUUAAAAACUAAUUAACAGCAAAGGCUUAUUAUUAUAUUAAAAUCUAAUCUAAAUUACACUGUAUUGAAGGAAAAACCGCUUGUUGACUAAGUUUUUCACCUUAUACAAGGCUGCUGUAUCUCAUUUAUCAUCAGUAAUCUGAGAGGCGCUGAGAUAUUGAAAAAUAUUUAGUAAUAAGCUUUCAGGGUGAUUUCACAUUUGGUUCUAAUUAAUAUUUUUAUUAUUUUUUAAAACGUUAUUUAUUUUGAGAGAGAGAGCAUGUGCACAAGCAGGGGAGGGGUAGAGAGAGAAGAAGAGAGAAAGAAUCCCAAGCAGUCUCCACACUGAGAGUGUGAGGCUUGAACUCACAAACCUUGAGAUCAUGACCUGAGCUGAAAUCAAGAGUUGGACAGACAUUUAACCGACUGAGCCACCCAGACGCCCGUCUAAUUUCUUUUUAAAAAUCUACAUUGAAAUAAUUCACAUACCAUAAAAUUCUUUUGAAGUCUACAAUUCCGUGAGUUGCAGCAUAUCUAUAGAGUUGCAUAACCAUCAUCAUUAUCCAAUUUCAACAUAUUUCAUCACCUCCCCCCAAGACCCUAUACUCAUUUAGCAGUCACUCCCCAUUCCCCCUGCCCCUAGCCCCUUGCAGCCAGUAAUCUACUUUGUCUCUAUUUGCCUUUUCUAGCAAUUUCCUAUAAAUGGAAUGAUAAAAUAUGUUGCCUUUGUUUCUGGGUUUUUUCACCUCACAUUUUCAAGCCUCAAGACACAUGUUGAAAUAUGUAUCGGUAUUUUGUUCUUUUUUUUAAUGUUUCUACUUAUUUUUGAGAAAGAGAGAGAGAGAGAGUGAAAGCAAGUAGGGAGGGGGAGAGAGAGAGAGACAGAAUCUGAAGCAGGCUCUAGGCUCUAAGCUGUCAGCACAGAGCCCAAUGGUGGGGGGUGGGGGGGCUUGAACUCACAAACCGUGAGAUCAUGACCUGAGAAGUUGGACGCUUAACCAACUGAGCCACCCAAGCGCCCCUGUUCUUUCUUAUUAAUACUAUUCAAUAAUAAGGAUAUACCACAUUUUAUUUAUCCAUUUAUCAGCUGGUGGGACUUUUGGUCGUAUCCACUUUUUAGCUAUUAUAAUGUUACUCUGAAGAUUCACAUAUACAAGUUUUUAUGUGAAAAUGCUCAAAUGUAUUUUUAGCUCAAACAUUUGUGCAUGGUUUACUAUGUACCAAACACCCGCUUAAAAAAAAAAUUUAACAUUUACUUAUAUUUGAGAGAGAGAGAGAGACAGAGAGAGUAUGCACAAGUGGG